CUAGGGUAUCUAGAAUAAAGUUUGUGUUUUAAUUCCCAUUUCAUCAAAAAACAUGGCCGCCAUGGCUAAAAAUAGAACAUAGGGGUAAAAUGCAGUUUUUGGCUUAUAACUCAAAAACCAAAGCAUUUAGAGCAAAUCUGACAUGGAUAAAAUUGUUUAUCAGGUCAAGAUCUAACUGCCCUGAAAUUUUCAGAUGAAUCGGACAACCCGUUGUUAGGUUGCUGCCCCCGAAUUG
rnacentral:lncRNA from 1 species